rnacentral:lncRNA from 1 species
GGCGGGCGGAGCGCCGCCGCCGACGCACACGAGGUGACCAGGCAUUGAUGCACCCCCAGGAAGGCCACGGGCUCAGGAGGCCCCCCCGCCCCGCUGGCUGCUGCUCACAUGGUGUCUGGGCCCUUGGCACUCACUGCAGCUCUGACCAAGUGGAGAUCUUCUCCAGCCUGCUGCAGCGCUCCAUGUCCCUGAACAUCGGUGGGGCCAAGGGGAGCAUGAACCGGCAUGUGGCGGCCAUCGGGCCCCGCUUCAAGCUGCUGACCCUGGGGCUGUCCCUCCUGCAUGCCGAUGUGGUUCCAAAUGUGCUUCGCGAGAAGAUCUACUCCACUGCCUUUGACUACUUCAGGUACUCCCCCAAGAUGUGCUGUGCGGCAUCCAGGGACGGCCCAGCCCCUCCAAGUGCUCCAUCGCCCCAGACCCCCAGGAACCGCCAUGUUCUCAGAUAAGAAGUACCUGACCGCCAGCCAGCUUGUUCCCCCAGCUGACAUCGGCGACCUCCGGGAGCAGUUAGUAGAGGAGAACACAGGCUCCUUGUCGGGCCCAGCGAAGGACUUUUACCAGCGGGAGUUUGAUUUCUUUAACAAGAUCACCAACGUGUCGGCUGUCAUCAAGCCCUACCCUAAAGGCGACCAGAGAAAGAAGGCUUGUCUGUCGGCCCUGUCUGAAGUGACGGUGCAGCCAGGCUGCUCCCUGCCCAGCAACCCUGAAGCCAUUGUGCUGGACGUCGACUACAAGUCUGGGACCCCGAUGUAGAGUGCUGCAAAAGCCCCAUAUCUGGCCAAGUUCAAGGUGAAGCGAUGUGGAGUUAGUGAACUUGAA